rnacentral:rRNA from 1 species
AAUGAACGCUGGCGGCAGGCCUAACACAUGCAAGUCGAGCGAGCGGCGGACGGGUGAGUAAUGUAUGGGGACUGCCCGAUAGAGGGGGCUAACUACUGGAAACGGUGGCUAAUACCGCAUACUAUCGGAUAACCCAUAUGGGAUUAACUAGGAGGUGGGGUAAAGGGACACCUAGGCGACGAUCUCUAGCUGGUCUGAGAGGAUGAUCAGCCCCACUUGGACUGAGACACGGCCCAGACUCCGACGGAGGCAGCAGAGAAGAAGAUUGCACAAUGGGCGCAAGCCUGAUGCAGCCAUGCCGCGUGUAUGAAGAAGGCCUUAAGGUUGUAAAGUACUUUCAGCGGGGUGGCUUUACCCGCAGAAGAAGCACCGUCUAACUCCGUGCCAGGAGCCGCGGUAAUAC